rnacentral:rRNA from 1 species
GACGAACCGUGCGAACGUUAUUCGGAAUCAUUGGGCUUAAAGGGCGCGUAGGCGGGCGACCGCGUCGAGUGCUGAAAGCCCCCGGCUCAACCGGGGAACGGGCCUCGAAACGGGUCGCCUGGAGGCGAGGAGGGGGACCUGGAACUUCCGGUGGAGCGGUGAAAUGCGUUGAGAUCGGAAGGAACGCCGAUGGCGAAAGCAAGGUCCUGGACUCGGCCUGACGCUGAGGCGCGAAAGCCAGGGGAGCGAACGGG